AGCUAUGGCCAUGCCACCCUGAACAAGACAGAUCCUGUCUGAUCUUGGAAGCUAAGAAGGGUCAGAGCUGGUUAGUAUUUGGAUGGGAGAACACCUAGGAAGACCAGGUGCUGUAGGCA
rnacentral:rRNA from 1 species